rnacentral:ncRNA from 1 species
UAGGCCAUGCAGGGCUGACGGAUUAGUGGAAAUGACCACAUGCACUGCAUGGUUAAGAUAAGCCGACCGUCUGGGCAGAGAUU